rnacentral:tRNA from 1 species
GGAGGGGUGCCAGAGUGGUCGAAUGGGUCGGUCUCGAAAACCGAAGUACCUUUACGGGUACCGUGAGUUCGAAUCUCACCCCCUCCGCCA